rnacentral:rRNA from 1 species
GGGUUGUGAGGUUAAGCGACUAAGCGUACACGGUGGAUGCCCUGGCAGUCAGAGGCGAUGAAGGACGUGCUAAUCUGCGAUAAGCGUCGGUAAGGUGAUAUGAACCGUUAUAACCGGCGAUUUCCGAAUGGGGAAACCCAGUGUGUUUCGACACACUAUCAUUAACUGAAUCCAUAGGUUAAUGAGGCGAACCGGGGGAACUGAAACAUCUAAGUACCCCGAGGAAAAGAAAUCAACCGAGAUUCCCCCAGUAGCGGCGAGCGAACGGGGAGCAGCCCAGAGCCUGAAUCAGUGUGUGUGUUAGUGGAAGCGUCUGGAAAGGCGCGCGAUACAGGGUGACAGCCCCGUACACAAAAAUGCACAUGCUGUGAGCUCGAUGAGUAGGGCGGGACACGUGGUAUCCUGUCUGAAUAUGGGGGGACCAUCCUCCAAGGCUAAAUACUCCUGACUGACCGAUAGUGAACCAGUACCGUGAGGGAAAGGCGAAAAGAACCCCGGCGAGGGGAGUGAAAAAGAACCUGAAACCGUGUACGUACAAGCAGUGGGAGCACGCUUAGGCGUGUGACUGCGUACCUUUUGUAUAAUGGGUCAGCGACUUAUAUUCUGUAGCAAGGUUAACCGAAUAGGGGAGCCGAAGGGAAACCGAGUCUUAACUGGGCGUUAAGUUGCAGGGUAUAGACCCGAAACCCGGUGAUCUAGCCAUGGGCAGGUUGAAGGUUGGGUAACACUAACUGGAGGACCGAACCGACUAAUGUUGAAAAAUUAGCGGAUGACUUGUGGCUGGGGGUGAAAGGCCAAUCAAACCGGGAGAUAGCUGGUUCUCCCCGAAAGCUAUUUAGGUAGCGCCUCGUGAAUUCAUCUCCGGGGGUAGAGCACUGUUUCGGCAAGGGGGUCAUCCCGACUUACCAACCCGAUGCAAACUGCGAAUACCGGAGAAUGUUAUCACGGGAGACACACGGCGGGUGCUAACGUCCGUCGUGAAGAGGGAAACAACCCAGACCGCCAGCUAAGGUCCCAAAGUCAUGGUUAAGUGGGAAACGAUGUGGGAAGGCCCAGACAGCCAGGAUGUUGGCUUAGAAGCAGCCAUCAUUUAAAGAAAGCGUAAUAGCUCACUGGUCGAGUCGGCCUGCGCGGAAGAUGUAACGGGGCUAAACCAUGCACCGAAGCUGCGGCAGCGACGCUUAUGCGUUGUUGGGUAGGGGAGCGUUCUGUAAGCCUGUGAAGGUGUGCUGUGAGGCAUGCUGGAGGUAUCAGAAGUGCGAAUGCUGACAUAAGUAACGAUAAAGCGGGUGAAAAGCCCGCUCGCCGGAAGACCAAGGGUUCCUGUCCAACGUUAAUCGGGGCAGGGUGAGUCGACCCCUAAGGCGAGGCCGAAAGGCGUAGUCGAUGGGAAACAGGUUAAUAUUCCUGUACUUGGUGUUACUGCGAAGGGGGGACGGAGAAGGCUAUGUUGGCCGGGCGACGGUUGUCCCGGUUUAAGCGUGUAGGCUGGUUUUCCAGGCAAAUCCGGAAAAUCAAGGCUGAGGCGUGAUGACGAGGCACUACGGUGCUGAAGCAACAAAUGCCCUGCUUCCAGGAAAAGCCUCUAAGCAUCAGGUAACAUCAAAUCGUACCCCAAACCGACACAGGUGGUCAGGUAGAGAAUACCAAGGCGCUUGAGAGAACUCGGGUGAAGGAACUAGGCAAAAUGGUGCCGUAACUUCGGGAGAAGGCACGCUGAUAUGUAGGUGAAGUCCCUUGCGGAUGGAGCUGAAAUCAGUCGAAGAUACCAGCUGGCUGCAACUGUUUAUUAAAAACACAGCACUGUGCAAACACGAAAGUGGACGUAUACGGUGUGACGCCUGCCCGGUGCCGGAAGGUUAAUUGAUGGGGUCAGCGCAAGCGAAGCUCUUGAUCGAAGCCCCGGUAAACGGCGGCCGUAACUAUAACGGUCCUAAGGUAGCGAAAUUCCUUGUCGGGUAAGUUCCGACCUGCACGAAUGGCGUAAUGAUGGCCAGGCUGUCUCCACCCGAGACUCAGUGAAAUUGAACUCGCUGUGAAGAUGCAGUGUACCCGCGGCAAGACGGAAAGACCCCGUGAACCUUUACUAUAGCUUGACACUGAACAUUGAGCCUUGAUGUGUAGGAUAGGUGGGAGGCUUAGAAGUGUGGACGCCAGUCUGCAUGGAGCCGACCUUGAAAUACCACCCUUUAAUGUUUGAUGUUCUAACGUUGACCCGUAAUCCGGGUUGCGGACAGUGUCUGGUGGGUAGUUUGACUGGGGCGGUCUCCUCCUAAAGAGUAACGGAGGAGCACGAAGGUUGGCUAAUCCUGGUCGGACAUCAGGAGGUUAGUGCAAUGGCAUAAGCCAGCUUGACUGCGAGCGUGACGGCGCGAGCAGGUGCGAAAGCAGGUCAUAGUGAUCCGGUGGUUCUGAAUGGAAGGGCCAUCGCUCAACGGAUAAAAGGUACUCCGGGGAUAACAGGCUGAUACCGCCCAAGAGUUCAUAUCGACGGCGGUGUUUGGCACCUCGAUGUCGGCUCAUCACAUCCUGGGGCUGAAGUAGGUCCCAAGGGUAUGGCUGUUCGCCAUUUAAAGUGGUACGCGAGCUGGGUUUAGAACGUCGUGAGACAGUUCGGUCCCUAUCUGCCGUGGGCGCUGGAGAACUGAGGGGGGCUGCUCCUAGUACGAGAGGACCGGAGUGGACGCAUCACUGGUGUUCGGGUUGUCAUGCCAAUGGCACUGCCCGGUAGCUAAAUGCGGAAGAGAUAAGUGCUGAAAGCAUCUAAGCACGAAACUUGCCCCGAGAUGAGUUCUCCCUGAC